UGAUGACUUCAUUUUAGACUGCAUGAUUAAACAUUAAAUAUAUCAAUACAUCUGAUGAAGCUGAGAUUUGAAAAUAGCUGCAGUAUUUAUGUACACAUCACAUAGUAUGUAUUAUUUAUGUGUAUACGUAACCUAAAAGGAGCUUAUGUUUGCUACAGAAGAAACCUGCUGAUAUUUUCAAUGUUACUGUAAGAAAUCACUAGACCUUAUAUCUUUUAAAAUAUUUAUAUUUGUGCUCUUUCUAGAAAUGUAAAAUUUGUAUAUUAUCACUUAAUCAGUCUGUCUAAAACUAUUAUUGAAUCACAUGAAGUAGAUGGAUAUAUUGGUGCAAUGUUUGAGAAUCUACAAUGAGAGUGCUUAAAAUACAGACCACAUGACAGACACAAUUCUCUUUGGAGGCCCUAGUUAAAACAGAUAAGAAGUCAUCUGAAACUGUGAAGUUUUGGGGACGGACUAAAGAGCACAUCAAGACAGACACCACCAUUACAUUAAUUUAAUGUAAGAAAAAAAUUUUCAAAUACAAAGCAAGAGCCUGAACAGAUUAUAGACUCAACACCUGCAAUGCAAGUUUCUUCUCAUGUGGAUAAUUCUCUUCAUUGUGCUUCAAGUUGAAUAUCAGAAAGGAUUCUUUUUAUAACAACUGUUAAGACUCCUAAGCAAUGGAAGGAAGGAAGACUGGCAAAGAAUUAAAUCUUAAACAAAAUUUGUGACCCAUGAUUAGUAACUAAGUCAGUGUCCA
rnacentral:lncRNA from 1 species